CACGCUGAAUUUAAGCAUACCACUAAGCGAAGGAAAAAAAUCAAAGAUAUCAGCGGCGAGCGAAACGGUACCUAGCGCAGCACUGAAUGCCUCGUCCUUGCCGGCGAUCAGGAAAGGUGCUGCAUGGGAGGUAACGUUCCCGAGAGUUUUGCGGUGGUGCAUGUCCCCCUGACAGAGGCUUGACCAGGAGUGGGUGCAAGGCUUGUCUCCGCCACUGCUCUCUCGGGAUGGAACCUCCCGUGAAUCGGGUCGCUUAAGAGUGCAGCCCUAAUUGUGUGGUAGACUCCAUCUAAGGCCGUGAGGGAAAGUUGUAAACUGCAUCAAGUACCGUGAGGGAAAGUUGAAAGGAACUUUGAAAAAAGAGUUCAAGAGUACGUGAAACCGCUUAGAGUAAAACGGUUGGGCCCGCGAAGCUGGGAGGCGGUAGCAUUCAGUUUCGAUGUGACGUGGAGCGGUGUUAGCGUCUUGGUUUACGGGCUCUCCUUCUGGGGGCCCGUUCCGGCUGCCAGCGCGG
rnacentral:rRNA from 1 species